CAAUAUCUCCAUGUGUCCAUUGACACAUGU
rnacentral:piRNA from 1 species